GUCUAGUCGCUGGGAAUAGACCCGAAACCGGGCGAUCUAUCCAUGGGCAGGUUGAAGGUUAGGUAACACUGACUGGAGGACCGAACCGACUACCGUUGAAAAGUUAGCGGAUGACCUGUGGAUCGGAGUGAAAGGCUAAUCAAGCUCGGAGAUAGCUGGUUCUCCUCGAAAGCUAUUUAGGUAGCGCCUCAUGUAUCACUGUAGGGGGUAGAGCACUGUUUCGGCUAGGGGGUCAUCCCGACUUACCAAACCGAUGCAAACUCCGAAUACCUACAAGUGCCGAGCAUGGGAGACACACGGCGGGUGCUA
rnacentral:rRNA from 1 species